CUUCCUCUUGAUCCUCAGAUCUUCCAUAGCUAGGCUUCCUGUAACUUCCUUCUUCCUGAUCCUCAGAUCUUCCAUAGCUAGGUUUCUUGUAACCUUCCUCUUGUUCCUCAGACCUUCCAUAGCUAGGCUUCCUGUAACCUUCUUCUUGUUCCUCAGACCUACCAUAGCUAGGCUUACGCUCAUACUCAGACUCUGAUCUGCCACCAUAUCCAGAUCCAAGACCCGAUUCAGGUCUCCUCCCAUACUCAACCUCAGUUCUUCCACCACCAGAUCCAUACUCCGAUUGAUUCUCCGUUCUACCACCAUAACUCUGCUCAGGUCUCCGACCAUACUCCGUCUCAGUUUCACCACCAUAUCCAGAUUCAGGCCUCCUACCAUACUCACUCUCCGUCUGACCACCAUAACCAGAUCCAGAUCCAUAACCAGGAUUCGGCCUCUCACCUUGAACAUGACCGCCACCACCUGAAUCGGGUCGAAAUGCGGGUCGUGGCUUGGGUCGAGAAUAGCUACUGUACUCUGUGUUGAGAGCUUCGUCUCCGUAAGCAGAAGGCUCAUGGAUCUGAGUGAAUUCAGGUCUCUCGUAUUCGAAAUCGUCAUCGACACCAGACGAGAGAGGGUAACAAGUCUCAUCGGAAGGUGGGAUCGGACGGCCGUAAAUCACCGUGAUGUCGU
rnacentral:lncRNA from 1 species